AUAUAUAUCAACCUUCUCUUUUUGAGUGGGUUUGGAUGUGGGGGAUUUGCUGGCCUCUUAAAGGGUUCAGCUCCUCUGAAAUGCAUUAGCAGAACGACCUGUUCAUUGGUGUGAUAACUAUCUACGCUAUUGAAUGUGAGGGGCAGUUCAGCUUUCUAACUGUCCUUGGACAACUUAUCAUUA
rnacentral:misc_RNA from 1 species